rnacentral:lncRNA from 1 species
GGGGGGGGGGGGGGGGGGGGGGGGGGGGGGGGGGGGGGGGGGGGGGGGGGGGGGGGGGGGGGGGGGGGGGGGGGGGGGGGGGGGGGGGGGGGGGGGGGGGGGGGGGGGGGGGGGGCCUGCUCCCCGUCCUGCUCCCUAUCCCUGCUCCCCACCCUGCUCCCUAUCCCUGCUCCCCAUCCUGCUCCCUAUCCCUACUCCCCAUCCUGCUCCCCAUCCUGCUCCCCACCCUGCCCCCCAGCACCCCAGGCUCAGGUCAGUGCUCAGGGGGCUCCUGUGCCCAGGGCUAGGACGAGGCUGGGCUGGGGGCAGUGUCCUGCUCCCCCAGGAGACAGGGAAGGGCCAGGCUCGCUGGCUGUGGUGGGAGCCCUGCCAGUGAUAGCCUGAGGAGGUGACAGCCCCGGGCUGUGCUGAGGUGGUGGGUGGCAUUUCUGGGCAGUUUUGUGGUGCAGGUGCUCAGCAGCCAUCGAUCAGAGCAGCCCCGGAGCAAUCAAUAGGGGUGUGAUUAACGGGCUGUGCUCAUCCCUGCUGAUGGCUCCUGAGUGAGUGGCCUUGGCUGGGCCAGAGGUCACACUGCUCUGCCACGAUGGAUGGAGGGAUGGAUGGAUGCCUCUUGGAACUGCUGGACUGGAGCUGUCAGUGUUUCAUCCCAGUGGCUCCUGUGGGCUACCUGUCCUUCGCUCCCCAUUUCCCACCACCUUGGCUUGACGCAGUGGGCAGAGCCACACCACUGCAGCUUCCAUAUCCCCCUCCCUCGGAGCAGGCUGUGUCCCAGGAAAGUCCCCAUGUGCCCUGCAGUCACCCCUUUCUGCUCUCACAGUGCCUCAAGGGAGCCAGGGGCUGAGCAGCUCUGGGGCCUGCCAUCAUCCAGCACUCCAGUGCCACUGGAGCCUCUCCUCCUGCUCUGGGACCAGAGACAGGUGAGGGGUGGGCAGGUGAGGCCACUCAGUCCCUCUUUGCCACUCUCUGAGGGGGGAAGAAAUUCCCCCUGGAAAAGCUGCUCCCUGCUGCUGUUCCCUGUGUCCAAAAGUCAGUGUUGGAGAGAUCUCCCUGUGCCACUGGUGUCACACAGAGCUGUGUCACACAGAGCUGUGUCACACAGAGCUGUGUCAGGGGCCAGCCUGCAGUGGG